ACGCUCGACACCUACGGGAGGCGGCAGUGGGGAAUAUUGCACAAUGGGGGAAACCCUGAUGCAGCGACGCCGCGUGAGCGAAGAAGUAUUUCGGUAUGUAAAGCUCUAUCAGCAGGGAAGAAACUGACGGUACCUGACUAAGAAGCACCGGCUAAAUACGUGCCGACAGCCGCGGUAAUCUGAGCGGGCUGGCAAGGC
rnacentral:rRNA from 1 species